rnacentral:rRNA from 1 species
UACGUAGGGGGCGAGCGUUGUCCGGAUUUAUUGGGCGUAAAGAGCGUGUAGGCGGUUCGGUAAGUCUGUCGUGAAAUCCUGAGGCUCAACCUCGGGCGUGCGAUGGAUACUGCCGGGCUAGAGGGUGGUAGAGGCGAGUGGAAUUCCCGGUGUAGCGGUGAAAUGCGCAGAUAUCGGGAGGAACACCAACGGCGAAGGCAGCUCGCUGGGACGGUACUGACGCUGAGGCGCGAAAGCGUGGGGAGCGAACAGG